AUGUGGAUCAGAAGGCAGUUGAGUGCAGCCCUCAGUGACUACUUCACUGACAUAAGAGGGUUAAAACUUGCUGUCUCCAGCACCCUAGAUGCUGGGGUUGCAGGAGAAGUAGAUACUGAUAAAGAGGUUGUGACUUGGUGGUUGGAAGAGAGACUAAGAAGAGAGAGACUUCUAGAACAUUCUUAUUUUCUUAUCUAAAGUAAAAGAUUGCUCUAAAACUCCUAUUCUAAUAAUGGUGAGUGUUAUGCCGUUUCCAACAGAGGAAAACUGGACUUGAAUUACUGAAGCUGGAGAUGGAGUCAACAUGGUGAUCAGCGUGCUGCAGCUUUCCUGCAGGAUCUCUGAUGCUGGCUCUUCCUUCUAUCUGAUAAGAAGGAUCACAAUGCUCACUUGUUCCCUGGCUACCCCAGGAGUCUGCAGGCAUACAUUUUCAAGACUGAUUGGAGAGCAAGUUCUACACUCUUGGCCAUGAGAUGAAUGGAGAACUUGAGAUCCUCUUCCAUCUUCAAACAGGAGUGAGCACAGCCCAAGCUGGAAUGAACCGUCUCUGCUUGAUGAUGUCAUGUAACCAUGGCACUGGUGUGCUGGACAGCCCACUGUCCAGGACACACACUCCGCCGCCUUCUGUUCUUAAAGCUCAUUUUGAGACAGCCUGCAAGACUUAAACUGAAUUUCACACUGUGUACACUCACACCUGGGCUUGCCUACC